rnacentral:tRNA from 1 species
GAUCUCGUAGCUCAGCUGGCUAGAGCAUUUGACUUUUAAUCAAAGGGUCCUGGGUUCGAGUCCCAGCGAGAUCACCA